CAAACAUUUUAUACACAUCCAACAUGUAAACAAUGAAAUCAAAUAUUCCCAUUUUUCUGAAAACACAAAAAAACUUACAUGUAAAAUCCUAGUUUCUAUGAACAUGGCCUUUUCCGUGUGGCACUGACUCCUAAAUAGCUUCAAACCAAGCCCUAAUUAGAAUCCGUCGUCGGGAGUAUCUGGAACGGUCUUCCGCCACACGACUGAUUCCACUUAGGGUUUGGCAAUGCCCGAGCUUGCCCGUUGCUUCGUUGCCUCGUUAUUGGAGCCGAGGCUUCGCGAUCACCUUCUGCGCGGCGAUCGAAGCUCCUUCGCGGAAUGGCCUCGCCUCGGACGCCGUGCCACACUGAUUUGGGCGAGAAAUCCUAAGCAAACACUGUCGUCGGAGUAGGACCCAGGAAGCUCGUGGCCGAGUCAUCACCCCUUCUUUUCUCUAAAGUUUCCUUGCCUGUUGCAAAGAGAUUCGUGGGGUUCUCGUAACCGCAGAACGAAGGAGUCCUUCUCCUCUGUCUCUGGCGUGUGCCAAGCGUUGGGCAAGCCAGCAGAAGUUGGCUUCAGGAACCGGCAGCGGUCUGCUUUCGUGUUCGUGAAACGCCGCCACUACGUUGUGACGGUUUUUGACUUGAAUGGCACACUCCCGGCAAGCUGAGCACGCCGAAUGUGCAGAUGGAUGCUUGCCACGCCAUAAAACAACCAACCUCCGCACUCAGGAGUCAAAAACCCUCUGAAUGGCACAAGAAUUAUUUCAAGUUCAAUGGAAUUCGUAUACUGGUUAGCGGGCUCUGUGAAGGUUUGGGUACCAGAGAUCUCUUCUGGUUGUAUGAUAGAAGAUGCCAACUGUGCCGCGACGAUAAUCGGGGAGGGACAUAGUGGCUUUCACUGCAACCUAAACUAAACAAGGCCACGUACUUUGUCAUUCGCAGACUACCAUUUGUAAGCAGCCCAAUACUUGGCAAGAUUUGGUUUGCAAGGGCUGGCUUUAAAUUAUCGCAAACGAUGCACAUACGGGAUCCAAUGACCAUGGCUAAGUCGGGGCUCUCAAGAGGAGCUAUCCGCAAAUUCAUUACCAUGGCAACCACGAAUCUGCAUUACUGCAAGGCCGACAGUAGGUUUUUUUGAAAUACUGAAACGCGUGUCGUAUUGAGAAUUUCUUAUGAUUUGACAGAUUUCCUCGCUUGUUUGGCCAAGUUGCCCUCUUAUCAACAGUACAAUGCAAGGUUUGAAAAAAAAUCGCUUGUCUCGUCCCUGUCCUUA